rnacentral:rRNA from 1 species
ACCAAAUAGAUACCCAGGUAGUCCACGCCCUAAACGAUGCGAACUGGAUGUUGGGUACAUUACGGUACUCAGUGUCGAAAGCUAAACGCGUUAAGUUCGCCGCCUGGGGAGUACGGUCGCAAGACUGAAACUCAAAGGAAUUGACGGGGGCCUGCACAAGCGGUGGAGUAUGUGGUUUAAAUUCGAUGCAACGCGAAGAACCUUACCCGGCCUCGACAUCUGUCGAAUCCUGCAGAGAUGCGGGAGUGCCGCAAGGAACGACAAGACAGGUGCUGCAUGGCUGUCGUCAGCUCGCGUCGUGAGAUGUUGGGUUAAGUCCCGCAACGAGCGCAACCCUUGUCCCUAGUUGCCAGCACGUAAUGGUGGGAACUCUAGGGUA